CUUCAAACCUUUCGCGCGCGAAGUUUGCGGGCGGGCGUUCCAGAGGAAAGUCGACUUGCGGAGACACAGGGAGACGCAAUACGCGGACCUUAGACACGUGCCGCAUAUUGACGUGCAUGGUAUGCAUGCGGAGAUGAUGCCGGAGCAUAGAAUAGACCUCCACCCGCCACACCCUGAGAUGCGGCAGCACCCCGACUUCAGACCGCCGCAUGCGCCCGCGCCGCUCCAGCCGCUUGCCUCCUGAACGGCGACCGCCUUCGCGCCGCCCAGCUGGCGCUGAGGCAAUCGCAAUCCUGUAGCCAUCUGCACAGAGUCUAAAAUAGAACAACACUGACACUAUUAGAGUUCUGCGUUUGACUACCAGUGCUGAGGCGAUAUCGACUCUGUGGCGAUGUGCGCAGUCUGUAAUUGUACAACAGUGAUUAUUAUUGGAUUUUCCACCCUAUCGACCCUGUAGCGAGGUGCAGAGUCUGAAACAGAAGUGAUUCUAGACUACUGGAGUCUGGUAACAACUCCCUCUGAGGUAAUAGUGACUCUGUGGCGAUCACGAUAGAGUGUGAAAUGGAACAACGUGAUUUUUAGAGAGUAUUGAAAUAUCUUUUUUGGAAAAACGUCCGAAAAAUUAUACUGAGGCAAUUUCAAUCCUGUGACCUUACAAAAUUUUAUUUACGCGUUUUAGUUUUCUUUGACUAUACCAAAAUAUUUAACGCUUUCCGUACCUACGUAAGUUUAUUUAGUGAAGAUUUUCCAAAGAUUACCAAAAUACCUUUAAUUAAUUAAAUUGUUCAAGAACUUAAUACCUACACGCUACGGUAAUCCAAAGAUUAUUAUUUUAAGGCAUUUAACUUAGUUGUGACAAGGUUAAUGUACAAAUUCUCAUAUUUAAACUGUGCUAAUUUAUAAUUUUAUUUAGAUUGAACUAAGUAGAUUAUUUUAUACGACGUUUUAAAAAAAGUGAAUUAGGUCGUAAGGGACAAAUUAAAUAGUCGUACUUCUGGACCCACAAAAUAUUGUUAAUAACUGCUGUUUAUAAUAUUUAGCUAAUUUUAGGCUAAAAUAUAUUAUUAUACCUAUUGUGAAGGCUUCGUGCAUGUGAGUUUUUGAUCUCCUUUUAAUUAAUAAUGCGAAUAAAUAGUGUAAAUGUAGACUGAUAAUGCCAUUCCAAAUAUUAUAUUUUGAGAAUGUUGUUUUUGAUUUUUGACUUAGUUUUAAAUAAAUUCCGAAUAAGCCAUUCCAGUUGAGUUACUUGCUUACUAUCACCAAGUUAUUGUUGUGCUUUGUCUACAAAACGAUGAUUUUCUUAAAUCCACAGAAAACUUGAAAAAAUCAAGUCAUUAGAAAUAGUUUUCAAAGCUCUCGGCAACAGCAUACAAAUUUUAUUUUUUGUCUUAUUGUGACCUUCACAGAAAUCAUAAUUAUUAUUUUAAAUAAUGCAGUCACAGAAUACCUAAUUUAAUUCGCUAUCCAGUAUACAGUUCCUUACUUAAAAUUACUCCUCAGAGAUCAAAUUUAUUUUAUAUUAUUUAAACAACAAAUACUCACAUAUCACUAUAUUUGAUAUAGUAUCGUUUAGUUAUAAUGAAAGUUAUUUGUUGCAGCGUUGUAAAUAUUUCACAUUAUUAUGCUAAGUAUAUUGAAUGUACAAAAUGUUGUCUAUUUUUAUAGCUUUAGUUACAUUUUAAAGCACUAGGUUAAUAUAAUUCCAUCAAAUAUUAAUUGCAAAGAUAUAAACUAUAUUGGCGUUUUGUUCUCACUUAUUAAACACCAAAUGAUGUAGAUAUAUGUAUGUACGUGCACCAAAAAAUAGUUUAAUAAAAUAAUUUCUAAACCUAAGACAGAAAUGAAUUUACAGUAGAUAUUAUAUACAAACAAAGUGGCGGUAAAGACCUCGUUAUCAGAGAAAAGGGAUCAUAAUGUAAAAGAAGCGCCAUUAUUAUUUGCCAACGAUCCAAUAUCACGUAACUUUUCGGUUCCUUUGCCCUGAUAAUGCCACAAAAUAUGUUUCAAUAAUGGCUAUAAGUUAUUGUAAAAUAUAAACUUUGCACAAAAGCUUUAUCGUCACAUAAUAUUUGGAAAUAUAUUAAAAAGCUGUGAAUAGUGCUUUUAAAGCUUCACUACCUUAAAUACAGAUUAUGUCAGUGAAAUCCUUAAUGCCAAAGACAAAAUAGAAAAAAUGUAAAUAGGCAAAAAUAGAAAGCAGUUUCAUGUAUUUAAUUACUUUAUAAGUUUAUAACAGGUUAUAGUUUAAAUGUACUAUGUACACUAGUGUUCAAAAGUGCAUGGAGAUGUUUCAAGUUUCAACCGUCAGAUUAAGGCAUUACGAUCGACAUCUAUCCAAGCACGUUUGAACGCCACUGUGCUAACUCGUAAGUACAUGCAAAAUAAAGACGUUGUAAGGGACAUUUAAAUGUUUCUUUAUAUUCAAACAGACACAUAUUUGAACUCACCAAGUACGUGUAAACUGAAAUUUUAUAUGUUUCGAAAUUUAAAUGUUUGUAUUAAUUGUAUUUUAACGUAAGUGUCGAAGUUUUCACAUAAUUCCUUAAUGUUAAUAUUAAUUGUAUAUAUUGUAACAUAUAGUUAAGUACGUAUAAACGGAUCCAAAGACAAACGUGCAAUCCUAUGUCGUAAUAUAAUACCUAAAGUAUGUUAAAGACGAGUCACUUCAAUAAAAGAUGAUGUUUA